CACGUAGGGGGCGAGCGUUGUCCGGAUUUAUUGGGCGUAAAGAGCUCGUAGGCGGCUCGGUAAGUGAGGAGUGAAAACUCCAGGCUCAACCUGGAGACGCCACCUCAUACUGCCGUGGCUAGAGUCCGGUAGGGGAGCAUGGAAUUCCUGGUGUAGCGGUGAAAUGCGCAGAUAUCAGGAGGAACACCAGUGGCGAAGGCGGUGCUCUGGGCCGGAACUGACGCUGAGGAGCGAAAGCGUGGGGAGCAAACAGG
rnacentral:rRNA from 1 species